rnacentral:rRNA from 1 species
GACAGAGGGUGCAACCGUUGUUCGGAAUUACUGGGCGUAAAGCGAGUGUAGGCGGUCUUGUAAGUCGGGUGUGAAAGCCCCGGGCUCAACCCGGGAAGUGCACUCGAAACUGCGAGGCUAGAGUAUCGGAGAGGUUGGUGGAAUUCUCGGUGUAGAGGUGAAAUUCGUAGAUAUCGAGAGGAACACCGGUGGCGAAGGCGGCCAACUGGACGAAUACUGACGCUGAGACUCGAAAGCGUGGGGAGCAAACAGG